AACGUAGGAGACGAGCGUUAUCCGGAUUUACUGGGCGUAAAGCGCGUGCAGGCGGUUUAUUAAGUCACUUGUGAAAGCGCCCGGCUCAACUGGGCGAGGCCGUGUGAGACUGAUAGACUUGAGAGAGGUAGAGGCGAAUGGAAUUCCGGGUGGAGUGGUGAAAUGCGUAGAGAUCCGGAGGAACACCAGUGGCGAAGGCGACUACCUGGCCUGUUCUUGACGCUGAGGCGCGAAAGCUAGGGUAGCGAACGGG
rnacentral:rRNA from 1 species